ACGAGGGGGGCAAGCGUUGUUCGGAAUUAUUGGGCGUAAAGGGUGCGUAGGCGGCGCGGUAUGUCUCUUGUGAAAUCUCCAGGCUCAACUUGGAGUCUGCAAGGGAAACUGCCGUGCUUGAGUACUGGAGAGGUGAGUGGAAUUCCCGGUGUAGCGGUGAAAUGCGUAGAUAUUGGGAGGAACACCAGUGGCGAAGGCGGUCCCCUGGGCCGGAACUGACGCUGAGGCGCGAAAGCGUGGGUAGCAAACGGGA
rnacentral:rRNA from 1 species